CCGACAACGACGAUUCCUCCUCUUCUUCUUCUUCUUCUCCCUCUUCCAGUCCCUCUACUAUUACAUAGAUAGAUGAAGAAGAAAAAAACUUUUUACCUCUACUUUGGUAUUUACCGAAAAGAGGUUGUGAAAUUCAAUAAAGGUUAGAAGUAACGUAUGUAGGUAAUUUUUUCUUCCUUCGCAAAAUGGUGUAUUCAUGGAGGUUGCGUAGUUAUUUAUGGAGUAAUACCCUCAGCGUACCCUAGCGGAAAAAAGUCAUCUCGUAGCCAACUAAAUUAGGACUAAAAUGGAUCAGAUGGUCGUCAUUGCGCCACUUGGUUUAGUUUUGAUCCUGGGUAAAAAACAAUAAGAAAGCCAUUUAAAGAUUUUCUCAUUAAUCGCUCAUUUUUUUUUCUGUUCAUGUGCUUAAAAAUGAACGGCAAGAAUGAUUGAGUGGCACAUUUUCUGCCCUAUCUCCAAGCCUGUUCAAUUGUUAUCUUCAAGUAAGGAGUAUUUAAAAAAAAUAAAAGAAAGGUUUCGUGAUACCUUAAACUAAAUGUUCCUUAUUUAUGAAAUGUUAUAUCCAUAAUAGUAUAAGCUUGAGCAAUAAUUAUGUGUAGGUGAAAUGAAAUAUUAGACUCUAUGAAUGCAUGCUUCAAUUAAUAGGUUGAAUAUAUAUUUAUACUACUACAUAUAAUCAAAUAAUAUACUAGUAUGUGUGUUUGUGUUAUUAUUUUUAAUCUUUUAUACGCGUGGAUGAUUAAUAUGUAACUGACUGAAAAUAUAUUAUUCACAUUUAA
rnacentral:lncRNA from 1 species